UACCAGCACCCCGAGUGGUCGGGACGUUUAUUGGGCCUAAAGCAUCCGUAGCCGGUUCUACAAGUCUUCCGUUAAAUCCAACUGCUCAACAGGUGGGCUGCGGAAGAUACUAUAGAGCUAGGAGGCGGGAGAGGCAAGCGGUACUCGAUGGGUAGGGGUAAAAUCCGUUGAUCCAUUGAAGACCACCAGUGGCGAAGGCGGCUUGCCAGAACGCGCUCGACGGUGAGGGAUGAAAGCUGGGGGAGCAAACAGG
rnacentral:rRNA from 1 species